rnacentral:lncRNA from 1 species
AGGAUUCAACAGGCACAACAACAUUUUUAGGAUUCACAGCUGCAGGCUUUGUGGUCUUUCAGGGAAAUAAGAGAAUCCAUUUGAUAAAAUGAAAAAAGCCAUGUUGGCAUUCCAUACUUCAACACCAGCUGCCUGCAAACAUCUUUGGAAGUGUGGAGUGGAAAACCAGGCCUUUUAUAAGUAUGCAAAAUCCAGUCAGAUCAAGACUGUAUCAAGCAGCAAGAUAUUUUUUAAAGGAAGUAGAUUUCGAUAUAGUGGGAAAGUUGCCAAAGAGGUGGUGGAGGCCAGUUCCAAGAUCCAGAGGGAGCCUCCUGAGGUGCACAGAGCCAACAUUACUCAGAGCCGCAGUUCCCACUCCUUGAACAAACAGCUCAUCAUUAACAUGGAACCCCUGCAGCCCCUGCUUCCUUCCCC